rnacentral:rRNA from 1 species
AGCGAACGCUGGCGGCAGGCCUAACACAUGCAAGUCGAACGAACCUUUCGGGGUUAGUGGCGGACGGGUGAGUAACACGUGGGAACGUGCCUUUAGGUUCGGAAUAACUCAGGGAAACUUGUGCUAAUACCGAAUGUGCCCUUCGGGGGAAAGAUUAAUCGCCUUUAGAGCGGCCCGCGUCUGAUUAGCUAGUUGGUUGAGGUAAUGGCUCACCAAGGCGACGAUCAGUAGCUGGUCUGAGAGGAUGAUCAGCCACAUUGGGACUGAGACACGGCCCAAACUCCUACGAGAGGCAGCAGUGGGGAAUCUUGCGCAAUGGGCGAAAGCCUGACGCAGCCAUGCCGCGUGAAUGAUGAAGGUCUUAGGAUUGUAAAAUUCUUUCACCGGGGACGAUAAUGACGGUACCCGGAGAAGAAGCCCCGGCUAACUUCGUG